AUUGAACGCUGGCGGCAGGCUUAACACAUGCAAGUCGAGCGGAGCGGCGGACGGGGGAGUAAUGCUUAGGAAUCUGCCUAUUAGAGGGGGACAACAGCGAGAAAGGGAUGAUAAUACCGAAAACUAAAAGAUGAGGCUAAGUGGGAUUAGCUAGUUGGGGGGGUAAAGGGCUACCAAGGCGAAGAACUGUAGCGGGUUUGAGAGGAUGAUCCGCCACACUUGGACUGGGACAAGGCCCAGACUCCUACGGGAGGCAGCAGUUGGGAAUUUUGGGAAAUGGGGGGAAACCUGAUCCAGCCAUGCCGGGUGUGUGAAGAAGGCCUUAUGGUUGGAAAGCUCUUUUUGGCAGGAAGCGGUACUCGCAGAAUAAGCACCGGCUAACUCCGUGCCAGCAGCCGCGGUAAUUC
rnacentral:rRNA from 1 species